rnacentral:rRNA from 1 species
AUACAGAGGGUGCGAGCGUUAUUCGGAAUCACUGGGCGUAAAGGACGCGUAGGCGGGUUGGCAAGUCAGAUGUGAAAUCCUACAGCUUAACUGUAGAACUGCAUUUGAAACUGCUAACCUAGAGUAUGAGAGGGGGAGAUGGAAUUAGUGGUGUAGGGGUAAAAUCCGUAGAUAUCACUAGGAAUACCGAAAGCGAAGGCGAUCUCCUGGAACAUAACUGACGCUAAGGCGUGAAAGCGUGGGGAGCAAACAGGAUUAGAAACCCUAGUAGUCC